AUGGUUUAUUUGAUGAUUGGCAUUAUGUCUUUCUUGUUUUUCUCUCAUGUUAUGGGUAGUCUUGAAUUUGAUUACAAUACUAAACAAAAAGUUGAUCGUGUUCUGCCGUCAGAAUCCAGUCUUAUAAUAUCUAAUCCAUCACAACCACAAUUUCAUAGAUUAAAAAAUUUGUAUUUUAGAAUGUUUUCAAAAGGUGUUAUUAUUCCGCCGUCAGGACCAAAUCCUAGAACAUCUGAUUCACCACCACCACCUCAUAGAUUUGAAACAACAAAUACUAAACAUUCUAGUUUGUAUUUUAGAAUGUUACCGAAAGGUGUUAUUAUUCCACCGUCAGGACCAAAUCCUAGAACAUCUGAUUCACCACCACCACCUCAUAGAUUUGAAACAAUUAAGUACUAA